rnacentral:rRNA from 1 species
AUUGAACGCUGGCGGCAGGCCUAACACAUGCAAGUCGAACGAGUGGCGGACGGGUGAGUAAUGUCUGGGAAACUGCCCGCUGGAGGGGGAUAACUACUGGAAACGGUAGCUAAUACCGCAUACCAUCGGAUGUGCCCAGAUGGGAUUAGCUAGUAGGUGGGGUAACGGCUCACCUAGGCGACGAUCCCUAGCUGGUCGGGGAGGAUGACCAGCCACACGGGAACUUGGACACGGUCCAUACUCCUACGGGAGGCAGCAGUGGGGAAUAUUGCACAAUGGGCGCAAGCCUGAUGCAGCCAUGCCGCGUGUAUGAAGAAGGCCUUCGGGUUGUAAAGUACUUUCAGCGGGGAGGCGUUACUCGCAGAAGAAGCACCGGCUAACUCCGUGCCAGCAGCCGCGGUAAUUC